UGCAGUCGAACGGUGAAGCCCAGCUUGCUGGGUGGAUCAGUGGCGAACGGGUGAGUAACACGUGAGCAACCUGCCCUGGACUCUGGGAUAAGCGCUGGAAACGGCGUCUAAUACUGGAUAUGAACCACGAAGGCAUCUUCAGUGGUUGGAAAGAUUUUUCGGUCUGGGAUGGGCUCGCGGCCUAUCAGCUUGUUGGUGAGGUAAUGGCUCACCAAGGCGUCGACGGGUAGCCGGCCUGAGAGGGUGACCGGCCACACUGGGACUGAGACACGGCCCAGACUCCUACGGGAGGCAGCAGUGGGGAAUAUUGCACAAUGGGCGGAAGCCUGAUGCAGCAACGCCGCGUGAGGGAUGACGGCCUUCGGGUUGUAAACCUCUUUUAGCAAGGAAGAAGCUUUUGUGACGGUACUUGCAGAAAAAGCGCCGGCUAACUACGUGCCAGCAGCCGCGGUAAUACGUAGGGCGCAAGCGUUAUCCGGAAUUAUUGGGCGUAAAGAGCUCGUAGGCGGUUUGUCGCGUCUGCUGUGAAAUCCCGAGGCUCAACCUCGGGCCUGCAGUGGGUACGGGCAGACUAGAGUGCGGUAGGGGAGAUUGGAAUUCCUGGUGUAGCGGUGGAAUGCGCAGAUAUCAGGAGGAACACCGAUGGCGAAGGCAGAUCUCUGGGCCGUAACUGACGCUGAGGAGCGAAAGGGUGGGGAGCAAACAGGCUUAGAUACCCUGGUAGUCCACCCCGUAAACGUUGGGAACUAGUUGUGGGGUCCUUUCCACGGAUUCCGUGACGCAGCUAACGCAUUAAGUUCCCCGCCUGGGGAGUACGGCCGCAAGGCUAAAACUCAAAGGAAUUGACGGGGACCCGCACAAGCGGCGGAGCAUGCGGAUUAAUUCGAUGCAACGCGAAGAACCUUACCAAGGCUUGACAUACACGAGAACACCCUAGAAAUAGGGGACUCUUUGGACACUCGUGAACAGGUGGUGCAUGGUUGUCGUCAGCUCGUGUCGUGARAUGUUGGGUUAAGUCCCGCAACGAGCGCAACCCUC
rnacentral:rRNA from 1 species